GCAGUCAUUGCGCAGGCACUUUGGUGACUCUAGAUAACCUCGAGCCGAUCGCACGUCCCCGUGACGGCGACAACGCAUUCAGAUGUCUGCCCUAUCAACUUUCGAUGGUACUUUCUGCGCCUACCAUGGUGACCAGAGGUAACGGGGAGUCAGGGUUCGAUUCCAGAGAGGGAGCCUGAGAAACGGCUACAACAUCCAAGGAAGGCAGCAGGCACGCAAAUUACCCACUCCCGAUGCGGGGAGGUAGUGAC
rnacentral:rRNA from 1 species